AAAUGUGAGGGCGAUCUGGCUGCGACAUCUCUCUCCCCAUUGAUCACGGGGUUGAUUGACUGAUCUGGCUGACUAGACGGGUGUCCCCUUCCUCCCUCACCACUCAUUCCUUCCGAAGAUGCUCGGUCGAUGAGGAUGAACUUCCCUGAAUAGAGGAGGACUGGUCUUUGGUCAAGGGUAUACGAGUAGCUACACUCCUUUGCUAGAACCUCCAAACAAGCUUUCAAAAAUGCUUACAACCCAAGCAAAAGAUCAGAGUCCAACCACCAGAACCCACACAAAAGAAGCUGUGCAUGGUGGUGUAAGGCUACAG
rnacentral:snRNA from 1 species